rnacentral:rRNA from 1 species
GAUGAACGCUGGCGGCGUGCCUAAUACAUGCAAGUCGAGCGAACAGACGAGGAGCUUGCUCCUUUGACGUUAGCGGCGGACGGGUGAGUAACACGUGGGUAACCUACCUAUAAGACUGGGAUAACUUCGGGAAACCGGAGCUAAUACCGGAUAAUAUUUCGAACCGCAUGGUUCGAUAGUGAAAGAUGGCUUUGCUAUCACUUAUAGAUGGAUCUGCGCCGUAUUAGCUAGUUGGUAAGGUAACGGCUUACCAAGGCAACGAUACGUAGCCGACCUGAGAGGGUGAUCGGCCACACUGGAACUGAGACACGGUCCAGACUCCUACGGGAGGCAGCAGUAGGGAAUCUUCCGCAAUGGGCGAAAGCCUGACGGAGCAACGCCGCGUGAGUGAUGAAGGUCUUCGGAUCGUAAAACUCUGUUAUUAGGGAAGAAUAAACGUGUAAGUAACUGUGCACGUCUUGACGGUACCUAAUCAGAAAGCCACGGCUAACUACGUG